UAUUAUUUUUUCCAGAUCAUUUAGAAAAAUAAAUAAGAAGAAUUCGCUGCUGUUUUGGUUGGAAUUGCAUUAAAUUUACAGAUUAAUAUAGGGAACAUGCAAUAUAUUCAAAACAUCAAAACUUUUCAUUCAAGAACAAGGUGUUUUCCCCAAUAAAUCUUGCACCUUUAAUGACAUCUUGGCAUCUGCUUCUGGAAGACCCAAACUGACACACCGAAGAUGGAAAGUGUAUUAUAAAUUAGAAAAUGUGUAAUAUAGAUUUUUAAAUUUUUUUCAGAUUUUAAGUUGAAUAUGCUAAGUCAGGAUAUACAAUGUUUUAAAAACAAGACACAAAGCCUUUGUAUUUUAUAUAUGAAGUUUAAUUAAGAAGUGAAAAUUUAUUCAGGUCAAUUUAUUUGAACUCACACCGAAGAAGAAACAUUCAACUCCAGGAUUAGAAAUAAAAAUGUAAACAGUCUACUUCUUUUUGGGUACGGGGAAGAUCACACAAGCCUGAUUGACAAGAGUACUAACAGCUUUGCGAAGUUACUACUUAAACUCUGUAUAUUCAAGUAUAUAUCAAGUUCAUACUUGGUUUACACAGAAUUUAUUCAAUCCUAGCAAAGUCAACAUAAUUUAAGUAAACCUCCUCUCAAGUUUUACUUUGUCUGAAAGCUUAGAUUACAACCACAACAAAAGUGAUUAUCUUUACUUCCUGUAGAUGUAAUCAACUUUUAAAAUAACUUAGGCAAACAUCAAUUUUACAUAAACCUUAUUAAGGGUAGGAGGAAAUUGGAACUGUUCAUCCAAUUCCUGAGUCUAAACCAUAAAUCCAUAUUGUACUGUUAUCUCUAUUGUCAAACCAAGCCAAGAAAGCCUAUUACAGACUAGAAGUGAAUGUGAAUUUGCAGGGUCCACUAAGGGAUACUUUGAAAAUCUAUCAUCACAUUACUUUCAAGAAAUUACAGAAAUUAUUUUCGAGUAUGCUCCAAGAAUCACCUCUUAAAUGAAGAACUAACCUUCAGCAAGUCAAGUGACAAGUAUUAUUUACCUACAUUUUGUAUGCUAGAUGAAGGUAAAAAUUUAGGAUUAAGUAAUCUAUUUGAAAAUAAAAAGUAAACAAAAAAUAGAUUCUGGUUUUAUUUGAAAUAGGACUCAUGUGCCCCAAGUCCCUUCCCAUUGGGUUAUAUCCAUUAGUCUAUUAUUUCUACCUAGAAGCCAAUCCAUUUGAAAAGUUACCUCCAUUAUGUGUCCAACAUUAUUAACGUAUUAGUACAGACUCUUGUAGCACUGCUCACUUCUAGUAUGCCAUUAAAAAAAGGAAAAAAAAAAAAAACCUUUGUGCUUUGCAUUCAUUUUUUA